rnacentral:rRNA from 1 species
CGGCGUGCCUAAUACAUGCAAGUCGAACGCACUCUCGUUUAGAUUGAAGGAGCUUGCUCCUGAUUGAUAAACAUUUGAGUGGUGGCGGACGGGUGAGUAACACGUGGGUAACCUGCCCUAAAGUGGGGGAUAACAUUUGGAAACAGAUGCUAAUACCGCGUAAAACCUAACACCGCAUGGUGUAGGGUUGAAAGAUGGUUUCGGCUAUCACUUUAGGAUGGACCCGCGGUGCAUUAGUUAGUUGGUGAGGUAAAGGCUCACCAAGACCGUGAUGCAUAGCCGACCUGAGAGGGUAAUCGGCCACACUGGGACUGAGACACGGCCCAGACUCCUACGGAGGCAGCAGUAGGGAAUCUUCCACAAUGGACGAAAGUCUGAUGGAGCAACGCCGCGUGAGUGAAGAAGGUUUUCGGAUCGUAAAACUCUGUUGUUGGAGAAGAAUGUAUCUGAUAGUAACUGAUCAGGUAGUGACGGUAUCCAACCAGAAAGCCACGGCUAACUACGUG